GUGAAUCAUCGAAUCUUUGAACGCAUAUUGCGCCCAAGACUUCGGUCAAGGGCAUGUCUGCCUCAGCGUCGGUUUAUAUCCUUGCUUCCCCACUAUGUGGUGUGCACCCCUAACCGGUUGCCGGAAGCAGAUCUGGCUUUCCCAAUCCGCUAUCAAGUGAAUUGGGUUGGCUGAAGUGCAGAGGCUAGAGCUUGGACCCGAUGUGGGCUCAACUGGAUAGGUAGAACCGGCAUUACAGCCGAUUAUACACGAAGUUGAUGCCUGUGGUCUUUGCUGGCGGCCAGCAGGAAACACACACUG
rnacentral:misc_RNA from 1 species